GAACAUUUUUGGUGGGCAUCUUCUUGUUAAGUCCUUGAAUCUCUCUCAUGCUUCAUAGAGAGUCUCACCAUCUUGCUGCCUGAAAGUCGGUACCUCAGCUCUCAGCCU